rnacentral:rRNA from 1 species
UAGUGAUCGCGGAUCAGCACGCCGCGGUGAAUACGUUCCCGGGCCUUGUACACACCGCCCGUCACACCAUGGAAGUCUGCAAUGCCCGAAGCCGGUGGCCUAACCACUUAUGUGGAAGGAGCCGUCUAAGGCAGGGCAGAUGAUUGGGGUGAAGUCGUAACAAGGUAGC